rnacentral:rRNA from 1 species
UACGUAGGGUGCAAGCGUUGUCCGGAAUUAUUGGGCGUAAAGAGCUCGUAGGCGGUCUGUCGCGUCGGAUGUGAAAAUCCAGGGCUCAACCCUGGACCUGCAUUCGAUACGGGCAGACUAGAGUUCGGCAGGGGAGACUGGAAUUCCUGGUGUAGCGGUGAAAUGCGCAGAUAUCAGGAGGAACACCGGUGGCGAAGGCGGGUCUCUGGGCCGAUACUGACGCUGAGGAGCGAAAGCGUGGGGAGCGAACAGGAUUAGAACUACGUAGUCAG